rnacentral:rRNA from 1 species
AUACGUAGGGUGCAAGCGUUAAUCGGAAUUACUGGGCGUAAAGCGUGCGCAGGCGGUUUUGUAAGACAGAGGAGAAAUCCCCGGGCUCAACCUGGGCACUGCCUUUGUGAAUGCCAGGCUAGAGUACGGCCAAGGGGGGCGGAAUUCCGCGCGGAGCAGUGAAAGGCGUAGCUAUUCGGAGGUACUCCGAUGGCGAAUGCAGUCCCCUGGGUCUGUACUGAUGCGCAUGCGCGAAUGCGUGGGGAGCAAACAGAUUUGGAUACCCUGGUAGUCCACGCCCUAAACGAUUUCAACUGGUUGUUGGUUCUUCAUUGUCUCAGUAACGAAGCUAACGCGUGAAGUGGGCAGCCUGGGGAGUACGGCCGCGAGGUUGAAACUCAGAGGAAUUGACGGGG